rnacentral:rRNA from 1 species
GUCUACAUCCAUACCACACUGAAUGCAACCAGGCAUGUCUGAUCUUGGAAGCUAAGCAGGGUUGGGCCUGGUUAUUGCAUGGAUAGGAGAUGGCCAAGGAAUAUUGGGUAUCAUAGGCU